rnacentral:tRNA from 1 species
GGGCGAUUAGCUCAGCGGUAGAGCACUGCUUUCACACGGCAGGGGUCGCUGGUUCAAGUCCAGCAUCGCCCACCA